AGUUUGAUCCUGGCUCAGGACGAACGCUGGCGGCGUGCUUAACACAUGCAAGUCGAACGGAAAGGCCCCUUCGGGGGUACUCGAGUGGCGAACGGGUGAGUAACACGUGGGCAAUCUGCCCUGCACUUCGGGAUAAGCCUGGGAAACUGGGUCUAAUACCGGAUAGGACCUUUAGGCGCAUGUCUUUAGGUGGAAAGCUUUUGCGGUGUGGGAUGGGCCCGCGGCCUAUCAGCUUGUUGGUGGGGUGAUGGCCUACCAAGGCGACGACGGGUAGCCGGCCUGAGAGGGUGUCCGGCCACACUGGGACUGAGAUACGGCCCAGACUCCUACGGGAGGCAGCAGUGGGGAAUAUUGCACAAUGGGCGCAAGCCUGAUGCAGCGACGCCGCGUGGGGGAUGACGGCCUUCGGGUUGUAAACCUCUUUCACCAUCGACGAAGGUCCGGGUUUUCUCGGAUUGACGGUAGGUGGAGAAGAAGCACCGGCCAACUACGUGCCAGCAGCCGCGGUAAUAC
rnacentral:rRNA from 1 species